GACGAACGCUGGCGGCGUGCCUAAUACAUGCAAGUAGAACGCACAGUUUAUACCGUAGCUUGCUACACCAUAGACUGUGAGUUGCGAACGGGUGAGUAACGCGUAGGUAACCUUCCUGGUAGCGGGGGAUAACUAUUGGAAACGAUAGCUAAUACCGCAUAAUAUUGAUUAUUGCAUGAUAAUUAAUUGAAAGGUGCAAUUGCACCACUACCAGAUGGACCUGCGUUGUAUUAGCUAGUAGGUGAGGUAACGGCUCACCUAGGCGACGAUACAUAGCCGACCUGAGAGGGUGAUCGGCCACACUGGGACUGAGACACGGCCCAGACGCCUUCGGGAGGCAGCAGUAGGGAAUCUUCGGCAAUAGACGAAAGUCUGACCGAGCAACGCCGCGUGAGUGAAGAAGGUUUUCGGAUCGUAAAGCUCUGUUGUAAGGGAAGAACGGGUGUGAGAGUGGAAAGUUCACACUGUGACGGUAUCUUACCAGAAAGGGACGGCUAACUACGUG
rnacentral:rRNA from 1 species